UUGCGGCGGAUAAGAGAGCGACGGCGGGCCAGGUGGCUCGCGUCCUUCCCUGGUACUCCCGAUUCCACAGCCUUUGUCGCCUUUCAAGAUUUGAGAGAGAAGCAGAGAACGUGGUGAGUUUAAGGUAUUUGAUUGGGGGGAGGAGAGAGAGAGGAGGGGACGAUGAACGGACGAGACAGAGGGAGACAGUGACCGCGUUCCGUGGGAGAGGGAAUCGGCUCGCUGCGUCAGUCAGUGCGCGCUGCCCCCACUCGCACUGUUGGUCAGCCGAAUGCGCCAUCAUCCGCUGCCAGCCCGCGGUCCCUUCUGCUCUCCCCGCAGCGCGACGAUCGCCCCACCUCCUCCAUCGGAGUAGAUUUUAUUAAAUCUUAGAAAACAUGUACGACGUCGGAAAGAUCGGUGGAAAUUUUUACCCUCGGCACAGGAAUUCAUGCCGUUGGAGCUCACCUGUUUUGUCAUUUGUGUGUGUAAGUGUGGAGUUCGAUCUCGAGUCUCGACUUGUGUUUCACACCAUCUAUGUCUAUGUAAAGAACGAAAGAUUAGAUUUCUAUUUUUACCGAGAGAUGAAGUCAUGAAGAGAAUAGAAGAUGAGGAAAGGACAAGAGAACAGCGAGGGUGAUGAGGAAUGUCUUUAACCAACAACAAAAAACCAAACUCCCCGUCUCGUUCAGUUUUUAAUUGCCCCUCCUCCUCCUCCUCCCAGUAUUUAUUGGCACUCAGCUCACACCAAAAAUAAAGUAAUUCAUUCCAUUCCCAUUUCCAUCCUUCCCUUUCUCUUUAUCUCUCUCUGGUCGUGGGGAGAGGAGAGGGGCGGAGAGGAGAGUGAGAGGGAGAACCAAUACUCUACUGCUCCCAUGGCGAACGCCCAGACGAAACCCGCCUCCUCCGCUAACGAGACAGCCUCCGGGGCCGGCGGCACCGGAACCGGAUCUGCGAGGGCAUUUUCGCCAACGUAGACGUUUCUUUCUUCCGUCCACCUCCCUCAGGCAGACAGGAUGGAGCCAGGCAACCAGAAGCAGAGCGGGCGAGUACGAAGAGGGAGGGGGGCGAUCCGUCUCUUCUUUGUACGUACGUACGUACGGUACGGGAUGCUCUACCAAUAUCGUCGGAUAGAUCGGUUGGUGCCGCCUCUGUCGUGAAGAUGCUGCUCGAGUGGAUUGAUGAACUGAUUGCUUGUUAUUGAUUUUAAUUUCUAUUGUGAUGCGGAGCAGGGAGCAAUUUGAGUUAUAAAUUUUAAUUCUGAUUGAACCACGAGACCUUACCUAGCAACGUUAUUGACAUUAUAUUUCAUUACACAGCAAUGACAUGUGAACGACUUGACAUGUGGGGUUUUACUUUCUUCCCUAAAGGACAAAUGACUUUACUGUUGCUCUCCGGAUAUGUUCAACACCGGUGCUUGAGGGUGCCAUGAGUAGCAAGGAAGUGCAUCUGUUUUUAGCUUGUAUUCGCAAUUGGCAUUGAGAAUACAAAGAUCUACGGCAAAGGCUUUUAAGAGGAAUUAAAGUUGAUUGGCAAAGCCCCUUGCAACAGAGAGAGCAACUUACUGCUUUUCCAUUAACAACCGCGGUUCAUAAGUUCCUCUAAUUGGUUAGACAAUUUGCAAAGCAUAAAGACAAAGCAUUUACUAGAUUUUCUCAACAAAAGAAUUGGGCGACAAUGAUCUUAGACAUACUAUAAAUACAAUAUCAAGAUUUGUCUUGGCAACCAAAACUCAAGAUUUACAAAGAGGGUAAUCUUAGCAGAUCCAUCAUUUAAAAGCGGGCUAGAAA